ensembl:lncRNA
GAGCGCGGAGGUGGAACGGGCCCCAUGGGGUCCCGGGGCGGGCGGGGUCCAGGGGUCGCUGAGGUCCGACUGGCGACGUUCGAAUCCCGGUGGCUCCCGCGGAGUGUGGGUACGGGGCGCUGGGCUCAGGGUUUCAGACGAGACUCUGGACCACCAGGGGGGAUCUUACGGCCCCUCUGCGGAUGAGAAAACUGACACGUUGCGUGGAGAACCCGGGAUCCCAGCAGUCAGGGGACUGACUACAGCACAAACGCGCCUGGAUCUGAUCCGUUCCUUCCGAAAACUCGUCCAGACCCAAGUUGUCCCACCGCCCCCGCGAGCAAGGCUGUCUCAUCAAGACAGAUGGAAAAUGCCAUCUGGAGACAAACACAGAUGACACCGAAGGCAGAGCUGUAGCUGCAAGCCAAGGGACACCAAAGAUCACUGGAAAAUCAUUAUAAGCUGGGAAAUGUUGGAGACCACGGAACAGCAGAACUCUGCAGAAGGCAAAUAUCUAUGGACUCAGAGUUUUAAGUACAGAGUCUCCUUCAAAGACAAGGAUUCCCCGUUUCCCUGCAGCGCUGGAUGCAGCAAGGAAAAAGCAAGAAAGAUUUUCCUGCAGGUCCCAGAGGAAGCAUGGCCCUCUGACACCUUGAUUUCAGACUUUUAGCCUCUAGAACUGUGAGAGAAUAAAUUUCUGUUUUAAGUC